rnacentral:rRNA from 1 species
AUGAACGCUGGCGGCGUGCUUAACACAUGCAAGUCGAACGAAGCACUUUAUUUGAUUUCCUUCGGGACUGAUUAUUUUGUGACUGAGUGGCGGACGGGUGAGUAACGCGUGGGUAACCUGCCUUGUACAGGGGGAUAACAGUUGGAAACGGCUGCUAAUACCGCAUAAGCGCACAGCAUCGCAUGAUGCAGUGUGAAAAACUCCGGUGGUAUAAGACGGACCCGCGUUGGAUUAGCUAGUUGGUGAGGUAACGGCCCACCAAGGCGACGAUCCAUAGCCGAACUGAGAGGGUGACCGGCCACAUUGGGACUGAGACACGGCCCAAACUCCUACGGGAGGCAGCAGUGGGGAAUAUUGCACAAUGGGCGAAAGCCUGAUGCAGCGACGCCGCGUGAGCGAAGAAGUAUUUCGGUAUGUAAAGCUCUAUCAGCAGGGAAGAUAAUGACGGUACCUGACUAAGAAGCACCGGCUAAAUACGUG